AUUGAACGCUGGCGGCAGGCCUAACACAUGCAAGUCGAACGAGUGGCGGACGGGUGAGUAAUGUCUGGGAACCUGCCUGAUGGAGGGGGCUAACUACUGGAAACGGUAGCUAAUACCGCAUACCAUCAGAUGUGCCCUGAUGGGAUUACCUAGUGGGUGGGGUAACGGCUCACCAAGGCGACGAUCCCUAGCUGGUCUGAGAGGAUGACCAGCCACACUGGAACUGAGACACGGUCCAGACUCCUACGGGAGGCAGCAGUGGGGAAUAUUGCACAAUGGGAGCAAGCCUGAUGCAGCCAUGCCGCGUGUAUGAAGAAGGCCUUCGGGUUGUAAAGUACUUUCAGCGGGGAGGCGUUACUCGCAGAAGAAGCACCGGCUAACUCCGUGCCAGCAGCCGCGGUAAUAC
rnacentral:rRNA from 1 species